UGAAAUGAUUCUUAUGGCACAGCCAAUGCCUUAAAGGUGAUGACUUUCUUUUUCCUUUUCAAUAUCAUUCAGAAAUCAACCAGUCUAGAAUGGAGUGAUUGUUUGCUUCAGUCUUCGUUGAUCCAAAACAUCCUAACUGCUUGUGACUGGCUGGAUGCCAACAAAGACCAACUUGUUGGGACAGUCCUCCGGCCAAGAAUUCUGGAAAUGGACGAGGAUGAAGUUACAUACACAAUU